GGGGGACAGAGGCAGAGCGUGCAGUGCUCAGAGGCUGCUUCUCAAUGGAGGGAUGCAGACGGAGAAAGAGGAGAGAUUCCACUACAGUUAAUUAAGGACCACUCUGCAUGUGCCUGUAAAUGCGAGGAGGCAAAUCUAUUCUGUGUCAGUGGCAGGGUGCCCUCGAGGGAUAACAGUGAUAUUUUCAAAGGUGGAAAUGACAGUGCUCUAAGUCUGUUUCCAGAGUCUGGCUUGAGUGUCAGUUUCAGUGAGCCUGCUGCUGUGUUUUCGUCAAAGUGAAGUCGACGAAGAGAGUGUGAGAGGAGUUCACUCCUCAAAACCAUCAAAGGAGUUGGGUUAGAUCCACAUGAGCUACAGCAUGGAUGGAUGUAACAUGUGUUAAGACACACCUAUACUCCUGCCUGGAUUGUUCAGAUGUGCCCUGUCAUGUCCUGGCUGCUCUGCCUGUGUCUCUGGGUCAGUGUGACGACCAUUCAGCUGUGCCAGGCCACCUUCUAUGACACCAUCCAGCAGCACCAUGUGACACGGCCCGGACGCGUCUCCAUCCACAUGAUAGAAGGAGGCACAUGUGAGGUGAUUGCUGCUCACCGAUGCUGUAACAAGAACCGCAUAGAGGAGCGCUCCCAGACAGUCAAGUGCUCCUGUCUACCAGGGAAGGUGGCAGGGACCACCCGGAACAGGCCCUCCUGUGUGGAUGCAUCCAUAGUAAUUGGGAAGUGGUGGUGUGAGAUGGAGCCGUGCCUGGAGGGAGAGGAGUGCAAGACGCUCCCUGACAACUCCGGCUGGAUGUGCUACGCUGGCAACAAGAUCAAAACCACCAGGAACACCCAGCCAUACACAUCGAUAUAUUAAAACCUGGCAGCAGAGCAGAGUUACUUAACAGGUUGGCCUCGUCAUAAUUGUGCCACAUCAUUAGCACCAUGCUAUGAGUUACACCUAACAAAAACCUUCGCAUAUACUCAACAAGCCUGAAAAUCCUGGAUAAAAGACAUGACUACAUGUGCAUAUACUACAACCACUGCUGCGGGCUGCUGACAAAUGACACAGUUCAAAAGUAUUCCCAUGGGGAGCAUGGUAUAACUUGGUGAUGAAUUAACUUUCAUCCUUUGGAGAGGAACAUGAACACUACUGCCUUUGGAUAAAGACUGUGUCUGAUAUUCCUCCUCUGGCAUCUAUAAACUGAUGUUGAUUCUGAAGCUCUCACGUAGAGACACUUGCGGUGUUAGGGUUGGUUUGAGAAAAUGGUGGUUGACAGCCCUCAGGUUUCUUAGAGUACUCAUUUGUACAUACAAUGUUCAUGUCUUUCUAUGUGUACAGGACGAUGAAGGUCAUAAGUCUCUUACUGAAGUCCCUGAAAGCAUCAUCUCUACUCUUCGUGUAGUUGUGAUCAAAUACAAAGCCAAAUGUUUGUACUGAAAAUAUUGAAAUCUAUAUUGAGGGUUUGAACAUGAUGAUGUACUUAUAGUUCUUGACCUCCCAGUCCACUUACAGUACACCUAGUGUCUCUGAAUUGGUUCAGAUGAAAUACAUAUUAUCUGUUAUCUUGCUAUUGGGCUAUUGAGUCAGACAAAAGUCUGAAGAGGGCACAUGACCCAUCUGAAGCUAAUCUCAAGUCUUUUUAGGUUGAGGUCCCGGUUUUGUUGUUGGGCGCAUAGGGUUGCCAAAAGGAUCUUUUCCAAAUACAAAAUGGUGUUUCUUGUUACAUUCUGUAAAUGUUCUGUUUGUCUGUGUUUGUAUGCCUUUCUUCAUACACGACUCUAUAACAUUUACAGAAAAUAACUUCUACUCAUUAGAAAUCCUUUAAUUGUGCACCAAAAAUUACAGUUUGUGUGUAUUUUCCCUUAAAUGCCUUAUUUGUGUCAAUUUAUUCAACAAUACUGUACAUAAUACGGUAAUCAUGGAUACAUAUGUCUUUAAUCU